rnacentral:lncRNA from 1 species
AUAAAGCCUCAAGAGUUCCUCGAGAUUAGAAAAGGCAGCAUCCUGGUGAUGAUGGUGGCGGCUACCUGCGUUCUCCUCCAAAAUCUCACAGCAACAUGAUAGCAAAAGAAUUAUAGUUUUUGUUCGCUGAUUUCUUCUUCCCAUGAUCGAUGAUAAGGAUAAAAUUCAAGAUUCCACCUUCACAUAAGAAAUGAUGCGAGAGUAUCUUUCAUGACAGCAGCACCCAC